rnacentral:rRNA from 1 species
UGGGUCCUACGGGGGGCAGCAGUGGGGAAUAUUGCACAAUGGGGGAAACCCUGAUGCAGCGACGCCGCGUGAGUGAAGAAGUAUCUCGGUAUGUAAAGCUCUAUCAGCAGGGAAGAAAAAAGACGGUACCUGACUAAGAAGCCCCGGCUAACUACGUGCCAGCAGCCGCGGUAAUACGUAGGGGGCAAGCGUUAUCCGGAUUUACUGGGUGUAAAGGGAGCGUAGACGGCGCGGCAAGUCUGCAGUGAAAGGCAGGGGCUUAACCCCUGAACUGCUUUGGAAACUGCCAUG